GAUGAACGCUGGCGGCGUGCCUAAUACAUGCAAGUCGAGCGAACAGAGGAGGCUUUUUCUUCUCUUACGUUAGGGGCGGACGGGUGAUGAACACGUAUAUAACCUGCCGAGAAGGCUGACAUAAGGUCGCGAAACCUGAUCUAGUACCGGAUAAUAUAGUGAACGGGAUGGUUCAUUGGUGAUAGAGGUUUUUGCUGUCACUUAUAGGUGUAUCCUGGCCGGAUUAGCUAGUUGGUAAGGUAACGGCUUACCAAGGCAACGAUGCGUAGCCGACCUGAGAGGGUGAUCAGCCACACUGGAACUGAGACACGGUCCAGACUCCUACGGGAGGCAGCAGUAGGGAAUAUUCCGCAAUGGGCGAAAGCCUGACGCAGCAACGCCGCGUGAGUGAUGAAGGUCUUCGGAUCGUAAAACUCUGUUAUUUGGGAAGAAGAAAUGUAAAUGUAACUCUUCCCGUCUUGACGGUACCUACUGAGAAAGCAACGGCUAACUACGUG
rnacentral:rRNA from 1 species